rnacentral:rRNA from 1 species
AUUGAACGCUGGCGGCAUGCUUUACACAUGCAAGUCGAACGGUAACAGGUUAAGCUGACGAGUGGCGAACGGGUGAGUAAUGCAUCGGAACGUGCCCGGUCGUGGGGGAUAACGCAGCGAAAGCUGCGCUAAUACCGCAUACGAUCUGAGGAUGAAAGCGGGGGACCGUAAGGCCUCGCGCGAUCGGAGCGGCCGAUGUCAGAUUAGGUAGUUGGUGGGGUAAAGGCUCACCAAGCCGACGAUCUGUAGCUGGUCUGAGAGGACGAACAGCCACACUGGGACUGAGAGACGGCCCAGACUCCUACGGGAGGCAGCAGUGGGGAAUUUUGGACAAUGGGCGCAAGCCUGAUCCAGCAAUGCCGCGUGCAGGAAGAAGGCCUUCGGGUUGUAAACUGCUUUUGUACGGAGCGAAAAGGCUCUCUCUAAUACAGGGGGCUCAUGACGGUACCGUAAGAAUAAGCACCGGCUAACUACGUGCCAGCCGCCGCUGUAACAC